UAACACGUAGGUGACCUACCCCAAAGAGGGGGAUAACGGGCCCGAAAGGGCUGCUAAUACCCCAUGUGAUUAGCGAUUCAUUUCGUUAAUGAAAGCUUCCGCAAGGAGUGUGCUUUGGGAGGGGCCUGCGGCGGAUUAGAUUGUUGGUGGGGUAAUGGCCUACCAAGUCGAUGAUCCGUAGCUAGUCUGAGAGGACGAUUAGCCACACUGGCACUGACACACGGGCCAG
rnacentral:rRNA from 1 species